rnacentral:lncRNA from 1 species
CCCCUCAUGGUUACCUGAUCUUACUAGGUUCUCCUCUCCUCUUGAGUACAGAGAAAUCAGGGAGGGUGUUGUGGUGUCAGAUGGAUUUGUAAGGAUGGGGCUGGGGAGGUCGAUAGAAAGGAGACAGCCCACGGUGGGGAGGAUGGAUGAGCAAAACUUCCAGUGGAGACUGUAUUUACAGACGGGCCCCAGCAGUGGACAGAAACCUGCCGCAGUCACGGGGAUAGUGGGUCCUUCAAUUAUUAGUUCAACAAAUAGGUACUGUUUGUUGCAUUUACUCUGGGACCGGUGUAAAGAAGACAUGCAGACAGAUGAGUAGGUGGCUGAUGGACAGCUGUAGUCGCUGACGCUCUGGGGACUUAGGGA